UUUUAAAAGUUCUCUUUCAUGCAGUUAUUUAUUAAGUGCUUUUAGUAUAAGUUGUUGGUGGUGUGAGAUGGAAAAUUCCUUUCCCUUUGUCCCUUUAGGAACAGGACCUAAUUAGUAAGCCACCGGUUGUUUACCAAGAAUCAGUAAGCCACCGAGCUUAUCAGGGCUUUUGCACUAGGAAAUUAUUUUCUAGGAGGGAGCAGCUGAUUGCGGGGGGAUGUGGUGACCCUACCGGGCUAGAUUCUAUUGGUUGUGUGAUUUUGAAAUGUUUGAAACCAGCCAGCACUUUGCUUUGAAUGGAUCAUGCUUUUGCUAAGUUUGAAAUGAUUGGAUUUUGUGUUUUCUAUAGCCUGUUAUUGGAUGUAGGUUGAUAAGGUGAUGUGUUCCCCCUCCCUGAGUGUAGUCUGAAUUCCUAUAAAUUGUGUGGUUUGAGCCUUGUUCAGGGUCGAGCUUGGUAGACUAACAUCAGUCACCACUCGGCCCGGAUUGCAAUUCAUGAAUAAACAUCUUUGCCUCUUUA